AUUGAACGCUGGCGGCAGGCCUAACACAUGCAAGUCGAGCGAGCGGCGGACGGGUGAGUAAUGAAUGGGGCUCUGCCCGGUAGAGGGGGAUAACUAAUGGGAACGGUGACUACUACCGCAUACUAUCGGCUGAGCCCGAAUGGGAUUAGCUAGUAGGUGGGGUAAAGGCUCACCUAGGCGACGAUCUCUAGCUGGUCUGAGAGGAUGAUCAGCCACACUGGGACUGAGACACGGCCCAGACUCCUACGGGAGGCAGCAGUGGGGAAUAUUGCACAAUGGGCGAAAGCCUGAUGCAGCCAUGCCGCGUGUAUGAAGAAGGCCUUAGGGUUGUAAAGCACUUUCAGCUGGGAGGCGUUACCCGCAGAAGAAGCACCGGCUAACUCCGUGCCAGCAGCCGCGGUAAUUC
rnacentral:rRNA from 1 species